AGCAGUAGCCGCGGUAAAACGGAGGGGGCUAGCGUUGUUCGGAAUUACUGGGCGUAAAGCGCACGUAGGCGGCUUGGUAAGUUAGAGGUGAAAGCCCGGAGCUCAACUCCGGAAUUGCCUUUAAGACUGCCGAGCUAGCAGGUGAGAGAGGUAAGUGGAAUUCCGAGUGUAGAGGUGAAAUUCGUAGAUAUUCGGAAGAACACCAGUGGCGAAGGCGGCUUACUGGCUCAUACUGGACGCUGAGGUGCGAAAGCGUGGGGAGCAAACAGGAUUAGAUACCCCUGUAGUCCCUGUCUCUUAUAU
rnacentral:rRNA from 1 species